UAGGGAAUCUUCGGCAAUGGACGAAAGUCUGACCGAGCAACGCCGCGUGAGUGAAGAAGGUUUUCGGAUCGUAAAACUCUUUUGUUAGAGAAGAACAAGGACGUUAGUAACUGAACGUCCCCUGACGGUAUCUAACCAGAAAGCCACGGCUAACUACGUGCCAGCAGCCGCGGUAAUACGUAGGUGGCAAGCGUUGUCCGGAUUUAUUGGGCGUAAAGCGAGCGCAGGCGGUUUCUUAAGUCUGAUGUGAAAGCCCCCGGCUCAACCGGGGAGGGUCAUUGGAAACUGGGAGACUUGAGUGCAGAAGAGGGGAGUGGAAUUCCAUGUGUAGCGGUGAAAUGCGUAGAUAUAUGGAGGAACACCAGUGGCGAAGGCGGCUCUCUGGUCUGUAACUGACGCUGAGGCUCGAAAGCGUGGGGAGCAAACAGG
rnacentral:rRNA from 1 species